GGCGGAGGUUGGAGGGAGCAGGGUUCCCAGUGUCAGACCAGUGUUUGUCUCCGCACUGGAAGAAGGGAGGGUGAGAUGGGUAGAACCUCAAGAAACAAACACCAGAGUUAUGAACUGACCAGUCAACCACACACCUCAUUUUGAACUGGAAGUACGCAAUCAGGCUGCAGAGACAAAAUACAGUACAGCACAGUACUUUGUUAAAUGUAACUACUAAAAACAGGGAAAGUUAAACAAAAUUGACAAGGCAAGAAAACUGAAAGAGAAAUUAUGAUAUGCUUAAGAUCACACUGCAAGUCUAUGAAGAAGCUGCAAACUGAACCUAGGUCUCCUGAAUGCCUUGUCCUGUGCCUUCACCAAAGCAGCUUUAAAUGAAUGGAUAUGAAUGAGUCUUGGACUUUGAGGUGGGAGGAUUCAACCGAGCCACAGUAACCAUGGGGGAUAUACUUUGCUCCAGUUUUUGUGCCAAUUUUGUGCAUUUUAGAAUUGUAAGCAAAUAUUAUUUAGUAAGGAUCUAACCUUCCCUUGAGAGUAAAAUUGUAAGACAGCAGGGGGCGCAUUUGCCAGUACUAUCAGGGCAUUUACAUGAAGCACCACCAGCAGGAACACUGAUCAGCAGGGAUCCUAAUUUUUUUCCAUGAUUUAAAAAAACCAAAAUUAUCUGAUUUAAAAAACAAACCAUAAUCUGCAUUUUUCUGCAAUUAAAAUGAAAUGUUGAACUUUAGUUUCCUUAGCCAAAUAUAUAUAGGUAUCAAUUUAACAUGAUAUUUUAUUGACUAUAUUUACAAUUUUUAAGCAAGUUCAAAGCCUACCAGU